GACAGAGGGUGCAAACGUUGUUCGGAUUUACUGGGCGUAAAGCGCGUGUAGGCGGCUUUGCAAGUCGGAUGUGAAAUCCCACGGCUCAACCGUGGAAGUGCAUCCGAAACUGCAUCGCUGGAGUCUCGGAGAGGAAGGUGGAAUGCUUGGUGUAGAGGUGAAAUUCGUAGAUAUCAAGCAGAACACCUGCGGCGAAGGCGGCCUUCUGGACGAUGACUGACGCUGAGACGCGAAAGCGUGGGGAGCAAACAGG
rnacentral:rRNA from 2 species